AUGGACAUCACCAUCCAAAGUCCACGUAUGAAGACACAAAUUAGUGUCAACAUACUUUUUCUGUAUGUGAAAAAUUGUGCUGUAUGUGUGUAAUGAGAAUUGUAAUGCAUUCCACUAUCAUGUAUUUUUAAAAAAAUCAAUAAUUUUUUUUAAAUCACAGAUAUAUGUAUACUUCACUCUUAGGAAGUAUGCAGAAUAUGGAAACCCCAGAGUCACAGAGCAGAAGUUGGUGACCAGGGCCUGGGAGGGCAGGAGAGUGACCGUCUGCCUGAGGGACACCUGGUUUCCUUUGGUGGUUAUUAAAAGCUGUGCAACAAGGAAAGGUUGUAAUAACAUUGCACCAUUUCAAAUAUCACUAGAUCCGAUUUUCAAAUGGACACUAUCAGGAGAAAUGAAUCUCAUUUAAAAACAAAACCCCCCAAAAAACCUGAAAAUUCUGGGAUUCUGCUCAGUGACGUCGGGUAUAAACUCUGGUGACAGGAAGACACUGUGGCGCUGCAGACCCCAACCGUACUCUGGACCACAGACUCAGAGUUGUUGGGAAUACCGGCUGCCAGGAACUGAGAACCUACUCUGCCAAGUCAGGUGUGGCUCUAGCUUCUUCCUAAACCUUGGUCCUAAUUUUCCCUGUGGUCUUGGGUCCUAUAGGAGGAAUCCUGACUUUAUGGAGAACAAACAAGGGCUGGAAACCAAACUGAUUGUCCCAGGGUCACCCACCAUGCAGACCAGGGCUCUGAUGGACUGACCAGUCUUUGAAAGUCAACUCCAGUCCAGGGUCAUUUCUGGACAGAGGAGGGGGAAAGGGAGGAAUUAUCAAGGGGCUCCAGGAACCUUCGAGACUGAAUUAGUCUUCACGUCCUUAUUGUGGGGACGGUUCCGUGGGUGUAUGUAUGUGGCAGACCUAACAAGCUGCUCAUUACAUAUGUGUGGUUUAUUCUUAUCAGUUUCACCUGAAUAAAAUUAUUUUAAAUGAAUAAAAGAUAUUAAAAGACAAUUCAACAAAAGGCAGAUGCCAACUAUCCCUAAGGAAAUAUGGCAGACACCACACAUCAUUAUGGAAUUGUAAGAAAAAUCAAUUAAUUUGAAAAGAAACAAACAAAAUUGACAAAACAAAAAUUUGGUUCUUGGAAAAAAUAAAUAAAAUUGAGAAACCAUUACCCACAAGGAGAAUGAGGGAGAAAAUUCAAAUUACUAAAAUUCAUGAUGUAAGAGGAAAUAUCAUGGUGGACACUAUCGAAAUACAGAAGGUGAUCAGAAACUGUUUUGAAAGUUUAUACUCCAAUAAUAUGCAAAAUCGUGAAGACAUUGACCAAUUACUAGAGACAUGUGACCUCCCCAAACUGAAUCCGGAGGACAUACAUGGUUUAAGCCCAUCAAUUUAAAAUAAUGAAAUACAAAAUGCCAUCAAAAGCCUACAACUAAGAAAAGCCCAGGACUAGAGAGACUGUCAGCCAAGGUCUAUGAGACCUUCAAAGCAGAACUACCAAAUUUCUCAAAUUAUUUUGUGAAAUAGAAAAGGAGGAACCCUUCCAAAUUCAUUGUAUGAGGCUAGUUUCACCCUGAUACCAAAACCAGACAAAGAUACAAGGAAAGAAAAUUUCCCACCAGUAUCCCUGAUGGUCACAGAUGCAAAAAUUCUCAAUAAAAUUCUGGCAAAUAGGGGCUGGGGCUGGGGUUCAGUGGUAGAGCACUCACUCGCCUGCCAUGUGUGAGGCACCGAGUUUGAUCCUCAGCACCACAUAAAAAAUAAAAAUAAAGUCAUGUGUCCAUGUACAACUAAAGAAAAAUAUUUUUUUUUAUAAAAACCCUGGCAGAUAGCAUACAAUAACAUGUUUAAAAGAUAGUGCACCAUGAUCAAGUGGGGUUUCUCCCAGGGAUGCAAGGUUGGUUUAACACAUGGAAAUCAAUAAACAUAAUUUAUCAUACAAAUGAACUUGAAGAUAAGAGUCACAGGAUUAUCUUGAUAGAUACAGAAGAAGCAUUUAACAAAAUUCAUGCUCAAAACAUUAGGAAAACUAGGGAUAGAAGGAACAUACCUUGACUUUGUUAGAGCCAUCUAUGCUAAACCCAUGGCCAGCAUCAUUCCAAACGGAGAAAAAUUGAAAGCAUUCCCUCUAAAACCUAGAGCCACACAGGGAUGUCCUCUUUCACCAUUUCAAUUCCACAUCAUCCUUAAAAUGCUAGCCAGAGCAGUGAGACAGAAGAAGGAAAUUAAAGGGACACAAAUAGGAAAAGAAAAACCCAAACCAUCACUAUCUGCUGACAACAUGAUUCUGUAUCUGGAAUAUCAAAAAAAUUCCACUGGAAAUCUUCUAGGACUCAUAAAUAAAUUCAGCAAAAUGGCAUGGUAUAAACUCAAGACCCAUAAAUCCAAUGUGUUCCCACAGAUCUCUGAUGAAUCCUCUGAAAGAGAAAUUGGGGAAACUACCCCGAUCACAAUAGCCUCGGAAAGAAAAAUACAAUAUUUUCAAAUUAAUCCAACCAAAGAGGUGAGAGACCUCCACAGUCAAACAUCAGAACAGCAAGGAGGGAAACUGAGGAAGGCCUUUGAAGACGGAGCCAUCUCCCACGUUCUUGGGUGGGCAGAAUGAAGCUUGGGCCAUUGUGACAAUGGCCCUACUGCCAAAAGCACUGCACAGAUUGAAUGCAAUUCCUAUUAAGACACCAAUGAUGUUCUGCAUAGAAAUAGUAAAAGAUGUCAUGAAAUUCAUUUGGCAAAGUAAGAGGCCCCGAACAGCAAAAGCAAGCCUUAGCAAUAACGGGGUCAAAGGAGGCAUCACAAUACCAGUCCCUGAAUCACACCACAGCGCGACAGUAACAAAAGUGGCAUGGUUGUGGCAUGAAGACAGACAGACCAACAAAACAGGAUAGAAGACACAGAGAAACCCACAUAGACAGUUCUCUCACCCUAGACAAAGGCACCAGAAAUACAUGGGAGCAAAGAAUGUCUUCAACAAAUGGUGCGAAAACAGGAAAUCCUUCUGCAGCAAAGUGAAAUUAAACCCCUCCCUCUCACCCUGCACCAAACUCAAGUCAAAGUGAAUCAAGGACUUUGGCACUACAGCAGAGACCCUGAACCCAAUGGAAGAAGAAAUUAGCCCCAGAUCUCCACCAUGUCGGCUUAGGAGCUGACUUCCUUAACAAGACCCCUAAAGCACAUACACACACAAAAAAAAAAAAAAAAUCAAGAAUCAAUAAAUGAGAGGAAUUCAAAGUAAAAAGCUUCCUCUCAGCAAACGAAGCAAUCAGUCAUACAGAGAGAGAAUCUACAGAAUGGGAGAAACUGUUUACCACAUGCACCUCAGAGCGUUGAUCUCAAGAAUCUAUAAAGAACUCAAAAAACUUUAACACACACACAAAAAAAAAAAAGCCGAUCAGUAAAUGGGCAAAGGAACUGAACAGACACUUCACAAAGGAAAAAACACAACCCAUCAAACAAUAUAUGAGCAAAUGUCCCCCGAUAUGCAGAUGCUAAUCACAAGGGAGGCACUGGGGUGGG
rnacentral:lncRNA from 1 species